AGAUAAAAAUUUAUGAUUUUCAUAAUUUAUUUAUAAUUUAUUUUACAUAUAAAUUUUAGUAUUAAUUUUUAAUUAUUUUAAUAAUAUAUAAAAAUUUUUGUAGUAAUUAUAAUUAAAAAUUUAAGAAAUUAAGAUUUAGUAAUAUUAAAAUUAUUAACAAAUUUUGUGCCAGCAGUUGCGGUUAUACAAAAAAUAAAAUAAAUUUUUUUUAGAUUUAUAAUUAAUGAAAAAUUUAUUAAAUUAAAUAUUAGAUUAUUAAGUGAAAUUUUAAUUUAAUUAAAAUUUAAAUUUAUUCAUGAUUUAAUAAAAUUUAUUUAUAAACUAGGAUUAGAUACCCUAUUAUUAAAAAUUUAAAUUAUUAAGCUAAAAUAGUAAAUAAUUAAUUAUUGAAACUUAAGUAAUUUGGCGGUAUUUUAGUUCAUUUAGAGGAAUCUGUUAAGUAAUUGAUAAUCCACGAAUAAAUUUACUUAAUUUAAUAUUUUGUAUAUCGUUGUUAAAAAAAUAUUUUUAAAUAAAAAUAAUAUUUUAAAAUUAAAAAUAAAAAUUAAUUCAGAUCAAGAUGCAGAUUAUAAUUAAGAUUAUAAUGGAUUACAAUAAAUUUAUUUAAAUGAAUAAUAUUUUGUAAUUAAAAUAUUUGAAGGUGGAUUUAAAUGUAAUUUUAUUUAUUUUAUUAAAAUGAUUAAAAAUUAAAAUAUGUACAUAUUGCCCGUCACUUUCAUUUAAAAAUUGGAAUAAGUCGUAACAAAGUAGAAGUACUGGAAAGUGUUUCUAGAAAGAA
rnacentral:ncRNA from 1 species